rnacentral:antisense_RNA from 1 species
CAAAGUUCUUCCAACAAUUUAAGCCAGGAAUUGCCCCACUGUUUCCCAGGUGAUGAGAGCCUCUGAGAGAUGAGAAAACGGAGGCACAUAGGGUUAAGUAGAUUGUCCAAGGUCACUGCUGAUAACUGCAGCACUGGGAUUUGAAGCACUGAACUCUGCUGACCCCUGAGAAGCAUACCUCUAACAGCUGAGAUUUCCAAGGCUUUUUGGCCAAUGUGUUUGUCAACAUCUGCAACAAAUUUCCAGAACUCAGGCCAGAGCCCUGGGCAAAGCCUCCUUUUUUGUCUCCUCUUUUUAUCUCCCAGUGCAGUAGGAAGCCAUCAGAUGAUUUUAAAUGGGGAAGUAAGACACUUGGAUCUGUGCCUAAAAGAAUCACUCUGCUGUUGAGUUCCGGAGAAGCAGACUCUGAGAUAGAGGUCAUUUUGUGGGAAGCUUAUUGGGAGGUGCUCUUGGGAUCCACACCUGUAGAAGCCUCUUUGCUCCCCACACUUCAGGACUGGC